rnacentral:sRNA from 1 species
AUACCUUUCUCGGCCUUUUGGCUAAGAUCAAGUGUAGUAUCUGUUGACCUCGCUAAAUAGACCCUCA